rnacentral:rRNA from 1 species
AGUGAACGCUGGCGGUAGGCCUAACACAUGCAAGUCGAACGGCAGCACAGUAAGAGCUUGCUCUUACGGGUGGCGAGUGGCGGACGGGUGAGGAAUACAUCGGAAUCUACUUUUUCGUGGGGGAUAACGUAGGGAAACUUACGCUAAUACCGCAUACGACCUACGGGUGAAAGCAGGGGAUCUUCGGACCUUGCGCGACUGAAUGAGCCGAUGUCGGAUUAGCUAGUUGGCGGGGUAAAGGCCCACCAAGGCGACGAUCCGUAGCUGGUCUGAGAGGAUGAUCAGCCACACUGGAACUGAGACACGGUCCAGACUCCUACGGGAGGCAGCAGUGGGGAAUAUUGGACAAUGGGCGCAAGCCUGAUCCGGCCAUACCGCGUGGGUGAAGAAGGCCUUCGGGUUGUAAAGCCCUUUUGUUGGGAAAGAAAAGCAGCAGGUUAAUCCCGCGCUGUUCUGACGGUACCCAAAGAAUAAGCACCGGCUAACUUCGUG